AGAACGAACGCUGGCGGCAUGCCUAACACAUGCAAGUCGAACGCUCUCUUCGGAGGGAGUGGCGCACGGGUGAGUAACGCGUGGGAACCUGCCUUGGAGUGGGGGAUAACCGAUGGAAACGUCGGCUAAUACCGCAUACGUCCUGAGGGAGAAAGAUUUAUCGCUCUGAGAGGGGCCCGCGUCGGAUUAGCUAGUUGGUGGGGUAACGGCCUACCAAGGCGAUGAUCCGUAGCUGGUCUGGGAGGAUGAUCAGCCACACUGGGACUGAGACACGGCCCAGACUCCUACGGGAGGCAGCAGUGGGGAAUAUUGGACAAUGGGCGCAAGCCUGAUCCAGCAAUGCCGCGUGAGUGAUGACGGCCUUAGGGUUGUAAAGCUCUUUCGCUCGGGACGAUAAUGACGGUACCGAGAUAAGAGCCCGGCUAACUCGUGCCAGCAGCCGC
rnacentral:rRNA from 1 species